rnacentral:rRNA from 1 species
CUAGCAUGUGCGCAAGUCAUUGGGUAUUUAUAAUAAACCUAAAGGCGUAAUGAAAGUAAAUAUAUAUAUAAUUUUUAUAAUUAUAUUUUAUAAAGGGAAGAUGGGUAACGUUAUUUAUGUUACCUCGCAUUCCCGGGGCGUCGCAUACUUAUUGCAAGUUGCGGCGCACCAAGAGCGUACACGCUGGGACCCGAAAGAUGGUGAACUAUGCCUGGUCAGGAUGAAGUCAGGGGAAACCCUGAUGGAGGUCCGUAGCGAUUCUGACGUGCAAAUCGAUCGUAUGAACUGGGUAUAGGGGCGAAAGACUAAUCGAACCAUC